rnacentral:rRNA from 1 species
CCUACGGGUGGCAGCAGUGAGGAAUAUUGGUCAAUGGGCGUAAGCCUGAACCAGCCAAGUCGCGUGCGGGAUGACGGUUCUAUGGAUCGUAAACCUCUUUUAUACGGGGAUAAUGUGCGGUACGUGUCUCGUCUUGUAUGUACCUUAUGAAUAAGGAUCGGCUAACUCCGUGCCAGCAGCCGCGGUAAUACGGAGGAUCCGAGCGUUAUCCGGAUUUAUUGGGUUUAAAGGGUGCGUAGGCGGCCUUUUAAGUAAGCGGUGAAAAUUUGGGGCUCAACCAUGGACGUGCCUUUAAAACUGGAAGGCUAGAGAAUGUAUGCGGUAGGCGGAAUGUGUGGUGUAGCGGUGAAAUGCUUAGAGAUCAUACAGAACCCCGAUUGCGAAGGCAGCUUGCCAAGCCAUGACUGACGCUGAGGCACGAAAGCGUGGGGAUCAAACAGGAUUAGAUACCCGAGUAGUC